AUCGUCUGUCACGUAUGUGCGUCUGCCUCACGCUACGCGUCUAUGUUCCCAGAAAGUAACCGUACGAUGCUAUUGCGAUGGGUUCGCGAAGCAGUUAGUAGUUCCGCCCCUAUCGCAGUCCCCGCGAGUUUCAGUGAUCUCUUUGUGACGAGCGAGCAAAGGUUUCCGUGUCGAAACGUCAUGACGCGACGACGACGACGCAUCAACAGCUCCGUCGCGUCUUCGAAGUGACAAUUGACAGCUCUCACUUUUGUUUCUCCGCGUAUCCGUGAUCCUCCCGCGCAAAUAUCGCGGACUGAGAAUAUCCGAUGAACGCUAACGAUCCUCGAUUGUGAAAGCAGAUCGAGGCAGUGAUUUUCACUGCGUCGCUUAAAUGGCUUUGCGUAUUAUGUCAGCGAUAGUGCCAAAUACAUAUAAUAUAAUAGAUCAUGCAGUUGAGAAGGAAAAGUUAUUGGAGGAUCUGCUAGUAUCCGCUAAAGAAUGUCACGUCAGGUUUGGCGGACGCGCGGAAUUAGCUACAGAAUCAGAAGCAUGUGUAGCAAAGCUCUGCCAUAUAUUUGAAUUAAUUUUUAGUCAUGGAUUAAAGACAAAUUAUAUAGAAAAGAUCAACUCAGCUUUCAGGCAUGUGUCUGACUUGGUCUCUGGUAGUAAUGUGAAACCUAGCAAUAUAGCAGAUAUAGCAUUCUGGCCUUGCAUAAAAGAACAACUCACUUGGCAUGAACAGGAACGUUUUGGUAUAUUGAGAAAGGUGCAUACAGAUUAUGGUCGAGGCAGAGCGUGGCUGAGGGCUGUCUUGAAUGAAAAAUCUCUGGAGCGACAUUUACACACUAUCAUAAAUCCUGAUACAUUAUCUCCCUUCUAUGAGGAAUGGGCCUUUUUACUCGAUCAGGAGAAAAGCUCUGUUUUACCUAAUGUAGCUGCAGGUCUUGGAACAAUUUUAUUUGCAAUAAGAGUAGAUAAUGAGGAGCUUGAUGACUUGAAAGGAAAAGAUAUGGAUAGAAAUAGAGGUGCACAAUCAGAGCCAGUUAUUUCUACAUUAAUUCCUGACCCUCUCGCAUCUGAACAGGAAAAGCGAAAAAAGAAAGUGCCGACACGUAUAAUUUCUUUCGAUGAUGAGGAAGACGAACACAGGGAGGAAACUACAACUUCUAUAAGCGCACCACCGACAUGUCGCAGCUCGCCUACGGCAGUAUCGACUAAAGAUUCUACUUCGCCUUGCUUAUCAGAUUCUCAUCCUCAAGUUGAUUCCAACAAUAGUACAGUUAAUACAAAACUUUUGGAAUGGGAACAACGUGAAUCUUUUGAAGAAGAAAAACUAUUAACUCCUAUAAUGGAUACUGGAAAUAUGGGCGGCCUUGUACCUGUAUCAUCACUUGAUCAAACUUUGGAUGAUAUGAUAGCUACUUUGCCAAAUUAUUUAAAUGAUUCAUCAGAAGUGACAGAACCAGCAGUAGAGGCAACCGAGCCAUUAGUUGGUUUAGAUUUGCAUAUAGAUCCAGAGAAUCUAGACAUAGAUACAUUACGUGUAAGGCUUUUAGCUAUGACAGAAGUGCUGGAACAAGCUAGGGAAGAUGCUAUAACAAGCAGAUUACAAUUAGCUCGCUUCCAGAGGCAACAUCAACAUUAUUUAGAAAGGCAUGAAUUGCAAUUGCAAACAUUAAAUAGAGAAAACGAGCUCUUACGACAACAAUUGCGUAAAUAUGUUACUGCCGUUCAAAUGUUAAGAAGAGAUUCUAAUUCCACAACGAUAUCUGAGGAAGAUCCGUCGAUGGAUUAUCAUAAUGAGGCACGACAGUACGAAGAGAAGCUGAUACAGGUCGCAGAUAUGCAUGCCGAAUUAAUGGAAUUUAAUGCUAGAUUGACAAUGCAAUUGACAAACAGGGAUAGAGUAGUGAAAAUAUUACAAACAGAAUUGGAGUGUCUUCGGGGACCGUUGAAUGAGGACGAUUUACCUGCGGAACCACCGUGUCUUAUUCACAUAUGGAUUCCAUCCGCGUUUCUCACAGGACAACCAUCUGACAUACAUCAUGUUUAUCAAAUUUAUGCCCGCAUAAGAGACGUAGAAUGGAACAUUUACAGGCGAUAUGCUCAAUUUUAUGCGCUUUAUAGAGAAUUAAAGAAACAUGACGCUAUUGUUACAACUUUCGAAUUUCCACCAAAAAAAACAAUAGGAAAUAAGGAUGCAAAAUUUGUGGAAGAGCGACGACAAAAACUGCAACAAUGGUUACGACGCGUUGUCGGACGAAUAGCGCAAUGCUCUCCAGCAUUUGCGUGUAGGCCGAGCAGACAGACGCUCGUGUCUUUGAUGCCUUUCUUUGGGUAAUUAUGCUUAUAAGAAUCGCGUUUUAAAUAAAUCAGCAUUGUCUAGCGAUGUGACCUGAAUGACUACUGGACAACAUUGGUAAAAAAAAAAUGUGAUAGUCCUAAUGCUGAGGAAUCGAGGAAGAAUAAUUCUGCAAGAAGUACUUUUUCUUCCUCCCCUCAAUAUAUGGGUUUAUAAUUGUGACAAUUUUUAUAGACAAUUUGUACAUACAUGAAAAAGAAAAAUUUUAAUUUAAUUAUAAAACAAAAGUAUCUUGUUAUACACAAUAUAACGUCGAUAAUUAAGAAGAUGAACAUAUGAUUACAAAUAUUUAUGUAAAUAUGAACAUAUCUAUACACAUGCAAUCUAUAUCAUACUGGCAUGUGUAAAGUUAACAUGUAGCAAAGACGAUUAAAAACUGGUCUUUUCUAUGAAAGUGA